CAAGUUCCCGAGGGCUGUGCGGGCGAACUGGCCUGGGAGCCCCAAAAGUGGGAGGGGCAAGGCCGUCCCCCGCCUUCCCUGCUCCGUGGGUGCCCCCUGGGCCGGCCGUUUCCACAUCUCCCGGGCUGCCACGGCCUGGGACCGAGCCGGGCGCGCACCGGCGCCCGCGCCGCCCCGAAGCCCGACUGCCACAGCCCGGCCCGCCGGCCCAGAGCCGCGCGGCCGCUCCGACCCGCCGGCCAGGCCGGUCCUCGCCCCCAGGCCCCGGCCCCGCCCGCUCGGGCCUCCGCGCGCCGCCCCCCGGCUCGCCACCACCCUCGGGCAGGGGGCAGGGGGCAGGGGGCCGGGGGCACCGGGGCUCCGGGCCGCGCGGCGGCGUCCCCGCGCCUACCUCAGCGACCGCGGCUCCUCCUCCCGGGGCUGCCUCAGCUGGCGGACGGCGCUCGCCUACCGGACUCGCAGCGGCGCGGGAUCUGGGCUGCGGGCGCGGCGUGUGAGGAGCCGAGGCCCGAGCGCGCCCCGUCCAGCCGCCCGCCCGACCGCCCGUCAGUCACCUCCUCCCCCUGGCGCCCGCCCGCCAGGCCCCGCCCCGCCCCGCCCGCCCGUCAGGCCCCGCCCCGCCCCGCCCGCCCGCCAGGCCCCGCCCACCCCGCCCGCCAGGCCCCGCCCACCCCGCCGGCCCGAGCCGGGAAGGGGGCCGCCGAGGGGCGCCGCGAGAGCCGCAGGGUCUGCCUCCCGUGGGGGCCUUCGAUACCCGGCGGGGCCCCCACUAGGGACGUGAUUCGUGGUGCUUGCUGCGAAGUCUCUUCGCUCGGGUUUGUCGUUACUGCGAUUUUCCUGCCGUUAUCAUUUUGUGAUCGUUGUUAUUGGCCCCGUCAUUGGUUCUUUCACCCUCCCGGAGCCCGCAGCAGCAUUCGGUGGAGGCGGGAGAUGGCGGACACGCAGCCCCUUCCUGCAGACCCGACUCUCCUGGUCGCCCGGGACUCCCAGGGGCCCGCACCUGUGCCACUGCCUUGUGAAGUCGACCAGUUGGUUGGCUGGUCCUGUUGGAAUGGGGUAAGCGCUGACAGGCGAUACCCACCUUUUGGGUGUCAGGACUGAAGACCAAGAGCCUUGCCAUGAACAUGAAAAUGACAGCUCCCAUGGGAAUGGGUGGUGCCCCUCUCUGUUGAGAUGAUUGACAGACAAUCCUUCACUUACCUCUUCACCAUCCUCCAGGAAUUUUUAUAAACAAAACUUAUGGUUGGAUGACUGUUUAGAUCCAGGACAUGCCGUCUCCCUGAAAAGGUGAGAUGCCUGGUGAUAUUUAAGAUAAUACACCAUUGUCUGUCUGUUAGAGUAAAGAAGGCUGACAGAAGAAGAAAUCAAGUGUGGGGAUUCAUUCAGUAGACAACAGAGGAGUUGAAAGUGCAUAUAAAAGAAUUAAGAUGGUGACCCAUGGAAGCCAUGGAGGAAGGAGAAGUAGGUGAGGAUACAAGCAGAGAGAGGACAAAUAUUUGGAAAUAUUUGACCCAAUAAUUUUAGGAAUAUCUGGGUUAUGGGCAUAGAGAAGUUUAAGAAGUAAGGCAAGUGGAUGGAAGGAAAGGUAGAGUGGGGUGAAAUGAAUGCUCUCCUUGAAGGAGCCAAGGUUAAGAUCAUUGUUGGGAAUAAAAGCAAGGGCAAUGGUAUUCCUGUGGAAGCU
rnacentral:lncRNA from 12 species